UACGGAGGGGGCUAGCGUUGUUCGGAAUUACUGGGCGUAAAGCGCACGUAGGCGGCUUUGCAAGUUAGAGGUGAAAGCCCGGGGCUCAACCCCGGAAUUGCCUUUAAAACUGCAUCGCUAGAAUUGUGGAGAGGUAAGUGGAAUUCCGAGUGUAGAGGUGAAAUUCGUAGAUAUUCGGAAGAACACCAGUGGCGAAGGCGGCUCACUGGCCCGGUACUGACGCUGAGGUGGCGAAAAGCGUGGGGAGCAACAGG
rnacentral:rRNA from 1 species